rnacentral:lncRNA from 14 species
CAACAAGGAUCCAGUCAGAAGAGCCUGCAGAGUUGACCAUACAGACCUUAAGCAUCCACUUUAGGAUCAGAACAACAUCUGUGUACACCAUGGAGGCCAUGGUUCCCAUCACUUUUUGAUGAAUGGACCUCUACCAACCUUCAGCAUUCUGCGCAGAACACCAUGUACAGAUUCAAAUGGGUCUUUUGUUCAACCUGAAACAGAUAAUUUUGCUUGGAGGCCUUUUUCUUAAUAUAAAAGAGAGAAACCCAGAUCUAUAAAAGGAAGGAGGCAGAAACAGGCCAAGGUCAAGGUGAUCUGAGGCAGCUGCCUUCAGAUCUCUUCUCUAUUUGAUCAGAGAAAUGUAAAACCAGCUCAAAGUGUGGACCAUGGAGGAAAUGAUGGAAUUCAGUUCGCUUUGG